UUCACGUCUGGUUAUUAAUUGCCCAAACAAAAGAUCGCUUUUGCCCGAAAAUAGCUGAGUUUAUAGUUUAAUGUACACUUGAACUGUUUAGUUAGUCAGGCAGCAAUGCGUUUAUGUUCAUUUAUCUUUUACUUUGUCAUUUUCUAACGAGGAAAGACGUCUCGUACUCGUCAGUUAGCAUUGAAGCUAGCUGACGAGCUAGCUGUGAAUAUCGCCAACCUAGAUUAUAUGGCAGUACCUGAAAGUCGGAGGGGUGUGGCCACAGGUGUGGUGACCGCCAGUGUCUUUGAGGGAAGCCAUGCAGCUGCAGGAGGACGCAAGCUCCACUCAUGACUAAGAAAGAGCAGUAAACACCAAGCGGAGGACUGCUUCACGCUGGCAGAAGAAGACACAAGCUUGGCCUUGGACACCGUCGCUCAACAAGCAGAAGAAAAAGAAGAAAGACUAAAAGAGCAGUGGCAGCAUGCACUAAAGUGGCUUGCAGACACAGAACAGGCUCAAUGUUCCUCCUCCUCAAGGUAAACUACAUCAUCAUUCUUAUACUUCCUGUUUACUGUACAAUCAAUAUGUAGAUCACCUUGAUGUAAUGUGACUGUGGCUCAACUGCUACU